CCAGCAGCCGCGGUAAUUCCAGCUCCAAUAGCGUAUAUUUAAGUUGCUGCAGUUAAAAAGCUCGUAGUUGGAUUUCGGGUGGGGCCUGCGGGUCCGCCGUUUCGGUGUGCACUGGCCGGGCCCACCUUGGUGCCGGGGACGGGCUCGUGGGCUUGACUGUCCGGGACCCGGAGUCGGCGAGGUUACUUUGAAAAAAUUAGAGUGUUCAAAGCAGGCCUACGCUUGAAUACAUUAGCAUGGAAUAAUGGAAUAGGACUUUGGUGCUAUUUCGUUGGUUAAUGGGACCGAAGUAAUGAUUAAAAGGGACAGUUGGGGCCGUUUAUAUUUCGUUGUCAGAGGUGAAAUUCUUGGAUUUACGAAAGAUAAACUUCUGCGAAAGCAUUCGGCAAGGAUGUUUUCAUUGAUCAAG
rnacentral:rRNA from 1 species